AUCGACAGAAACAACUUGAAUUGUUGCAUUUCGUUGUGUUGUUGUCCUCCGGUGGCUAGCAAGCUAGCUAAAAUUGGCCCUUUUGUAAAUUAGCCAUGGAUAGAGAUAGGAUUUUUUUUUAAAUUCUCUGUACUGACCAAUGAUUAUAACGACGAUUCUGAUCCAACCAUUAAUUCAUAGAUUGUUUUGCACCUGGGCUGAGAGGAUGGAAGUUCAAUAUGUAGCUAGAUGUGUUAAUGUUAACUAGCUAACGUUGCCCAUGAAUGGAAGUUAGGCUAGCAAGCAAGCAUUUUAGCUAGGUAGCCUAGGAAAACAUCAAAUUAAAGCGUUUACUGUAUGAGAGAGUGACAGACCAUUUCGUCAACAUGAAAGACAGGAGGAUGGCAUUGACGUUUCUCUACAAGUAGGUACUGUCAUAGGUUGAAGCUACAGGGGCUAACAGGAAUCGAGUUGGACCCAUCUAGUUCUAGACGAGGUCUGUCUACCUACAUCCUCUCCCUCCCCGACCAGACAAUCAGUUUACAGGUGGACAGUCCAGACACAGGAGAGGAGUGGAGAGGCUUCAUUAUGACUGUGGCUACGCUACAACUACUUCUGGGUCAGAGGUUACAGCUACAGGAAGUCCUGGAACAGGAGCACCAGAGGGCCUGCCAUCCCAUAACACCAUCCACCUCAGACCACGCCCUGACACCCCGUUAACACAUGACUCAUGGCAACUCGGAAUCUCCUGUGCCACCAGGUUUCCACAAGAUGACACGUUAGGAGGAGGAGCUAAUGUUGAUUGAUAGCCCAGAAUACGGGGAAGUCAUCCUGCGCCCAGCAACAGAGAGCAACAGCUAUGCCCUCCCUGUAAGGCACAAAGGCUCCAGGUGACCGGCUCCAGUCUCCAUGAUGUCCUACUUCUCUUCCUGUCCCAGACCAGGCAGUACCUGCGACCUCACAUCCGACCCUCAACCCCUGAAACACCUUUUACACAUCGAUAGGAUAGUCACAAGAGAUUAGGUAGUUAAAAAAUAAAUCACACCAUGUGUCUAACAUCAUUUAUCUGCUUUUGAAAAGUCUAACAACAGAAUAUAAAGGAUUGUUUGAGUUGUUUUGUCCUGGUAGUAGGAAAGCAGGGAAUUGUUUGUCAAUGACUUCCCAUUGCCCAAUCUUGAUGGAGGAAGGCAGUGACGUGCGGUCAGGAUAGGCAGGGUGGUCUGGGUAGGCAGGGCUAACCAUGUGAUCUAAUUUUUAAAAACGCUGUUAUGAAAAUAAAAUAUAUAAAAAUGGUAAUAAA